rnacentral:rRNA from 1 species
ACGGAAGGCAGCAGUGGGGAAUUUUGCGCAAUGGGGGGAACCCUGACGCAGCAACGCCGCGUGCGGGAUGAAGGCCUUCGGGUUGUAAACCGCUUUCAGCAGGGACGAUUAUGACGGUACCUGCAGAAGAAGCUCCGGCUAACUACGUGCCAGCAGCCGCGGUAAUACGUAGGGAGCAAGCGUUAUCCGGAUUUACUGGGUGUAAAGGGCGUGUAGGCGGGACAUCAAGUCAGAUGUGAAAGCACGAGGCUCAACUUCGUGUCUGCAUUUGAAACUGACGUUCUUGAGUGUUGGAGAGGCUAACGGAACUCCUAGUGUAGCGGUGAAAUGCGUAGAUAUUAGGAAGAACACCAGUGGCGAAGGCGGUUAGCUGGACAAUAACUGACGCUGAGGCGCGAAAGCGUGGGUAGCAAACAGGAUUAGAUACCCUGGUA